GGCUCUUUGUAAUACACAGAUGAGGAGUCGGACCUGCCCAGUGAAAUUUUUCAACGGCCGCGGUACUCUGACCGUGCAAAGGUAGCAUAAUCAUUUGCCUUAUAAUUGAAGGCUUGUAUGAAUGGUUUGACAAGAAUGAAACUGUCUCUUUAUAAUUAAUUAAAAUUUUAUUUAUAGGUGAAGAAGCCUAUAUUUUAUUGAAAGACAAGAAGACCCUAUCGAGCUUAAAAAAAGUUAAUAAAUUUGAAUAUUUAGUAUCUAUUGCAUAAUUUAUUAUUAAACAUUUUAGUUGGGGCGACUAAGGAACAAAAAAAGCUUCCUAAAUUUUUAUUAACAUUCAGGUAAUGACCCAAAAAUUUUGAUUAAAGAAGUUAGUUACCGUAGGGAUAACAGCAUUAUCUUUUUUGAGAGUUCUAAUCGAAAAAAAGGUUUGUGACCUCGAUGUUGGACCAGAAUAUCCUAAAGGUGCAGCUGCCUUUAAGGGUUGGUCUGUUCGACCAUUAAAAUUCUACGUGAUCUGAGUUCAGACCGGCGUGAGCCAGGUCAGUUUCUAUCUUCAGUUUAUAUAGUGAGCUUAGUACGAAAGGAUCGGCUCAUUACAAAUUAUUGUUUCUACUGACAAAGUAUAAAGAAAUAUUAAAUUUAUAAUAUCUAUAAAAAUCAAAUUAGCAAAGAUUAAUGCAAUUGACUUAGGAUCAAUAGAGAAAGGUGAAAUCCCUUUAUUUGACACAUGGGUAUAAAGGUGGCAGAUAAA
rnacentral:rRNA from 1 species